AACGCACAUUGCGCCCGCCAGCACUCUGGCGGGCAUGCCUGUCCGAGCGUCAUUUCAACCCUCGAGCCCCCCCGGGGGCUCGGCGUUGGGGAUCGGCUCCCUCUGCCGGCCCCUAAAUACAGUGGCGGUCCCGCCGCAGCCUCCCCCUGCGCAGUAGCUUUGCACAACUCGCACCGGGAGCGCGGCGCGGCCACGGCCGUGAAACACCCCAAACUUUCCGUAAGGUUGACCUCGGAUCAGGUAGGAAUACCCGCUGAACUUAA
rnacentral:misc_RNA from 1 species